rnacentral:rRNA from 1 species
UACGAAGGGGGCUAGCGUUGCUCGGAAUCACUGGGCGUAAAGGGUGCGUAGGCGGGUCUUUAAGUCAGGGGUGAAAUCCUGGAGCUCAACUCCAGAACUGCCUUUGAUACUGAAGAUCUUGAGUUCGGGAGAGGUGAGUGGAACUGCGAGUGUAGAGGUGAAAUUCGUAGAUAUCUGGAGGAACACCGGUGGCGAAGGCGGCAUCCUGGACCGGUAUUGACGCUGAGGCGCGAAAGCUAGGGGAGCAAACGGG